rnacentral:rRNA from 1 species
AUGGGGGCUGCUGCGAGCAACGGAGCCACCAGCCACCCAUCGGGAGGAGGGGCUCCACCAACACGGCACGGGGACGCCGCCCCGGCUCGGCUCCCUAUGUGCCGAAGAGAAGACCGCCGCCGCCCCGGCCGAUGCUCUGCCAGAACCUCCCGCGCGGAGGGAAAGGACGGGGUGAUCCUGCCGCUGCUCUCGAGCUUGGUGGGGGAGGGGGAGGAGGGGGCGGGGCGAAAUCCCGGCGACGGUGUGUGGGCUCAAGCGGCAACGACGGUACAUCCAGUGAGAGCUCGGUGUCUGGAUGGGGGCGAGGUCGGGAUGUUUCAUCGAGAGCCUCGCAGAAGAGAAAAGAAAACAGAGGAGAUAAGGCUGCGAGCGAGCGAGCGAAAAAAGAAAAGGCUGCGAGCGAGCGACCGAAAGAAAAGGCUGGAAGCGAGCGCCAGCGAGGCGGCUGGUUUCUUCUAG